rnacentral:rRNA from 1 species
GAUGAACGCUAGCGGCAGGCUUAACACAUGCAAGUCGAGGGGUAUUGGUUUUCGGACCAAGAGACCGGCGCACGGGUGCGUAACGCGUAUGCAAUCUACCUUUUGCAGAGGGAUAGCCCCAGAGAAAUUUGGAUUAAUACCUCAUAGUAUAGUACUUUGGCAUCAAGGAACUAUUAAAGUCACAACGGCAAAAGAUGAGCAUGCGUCCCAUUAGCUAGUUGGUAAGGUAACGGCUUACCAAGGCUACGAUGGGUAGGGGUCCUGAGAGGGAGAUCCCCCACACUGGUACUGAGACACGGACCAGACUCCUACGGGAGGCAGCAGUGAGGAAUAUUGGACAAUGGGCGCAAGCCCUGAUCCAGCCAUGCCGCGUGCAGGAUGACGGUCCUAUGGAUUGUAAACUGCUUUUAUACAGGAAGAAACACUCCGCGUGUCGGAGCUUGACGGUACUGUAAGAAUAAGGAUCGGCUAACUCCGUGCCAG